rnacentral:rRNA from 1 species
UGAGCAAUCUGCCCUUCUCUUCGGAAUAAGCGUUGGAAACGACGUCUAAUGCCGAAUACGACCUCCUUUCGCAUGAUCGGAGGUGGAAAGCUCCGGCGGAGAAGGAUGAGCUCGCGGCCUAUCAGCUAGUUGGUGAGGUAACGGCUCACCAAGGCGACGACGGGUAGCUGGUCUGAGAGGAUGGCCAGCCACAGUUGGGACUGAGACACCGGCCCAGACCUCGUAACCGGGGAGG